rnacentral:rRNA from 1 species
GACGAACGCUGGCGGCGUGCUUAACACAUGCAAGUCGAACGGAAAGGCCCUGCUUUUGUGGGGUGCUCGAGUGGCGAACGGGUGAGUAACACGUGAGUAACCUGCCCUUGACUUUGGGAUAACUUCAGGAAACUGGGGCUAAUACCGGAUAGGAGCUCCUGCUGCAUGGUGGGGGUUGGAAAGUUUCGGCGGUUGGGGAUGGACUCGCGGCUUAUCAGCUUGUUGGUGGGGUAGUGGCUUACCAAGGCUUUGACGGGUAGCCGGCCCGAGAGGGUGACCGGCCACAUUGGGACUGAGAUACGGCACAGACUCCUACGGGAGGCAGCAGUGGGGAAUAUUGCACAAUGGGCGGAAGCCUGAUGCAGCAACGCCGCGUGCGGGAUGACGGCCUUCGGGUUGUAAACCGCUUUCGCCUGUGACGAAGCGUGAGUGACGGUAAUGGGUAAAGAAGCACCGGCUAACUACGUG